ACAACUUUCAGCAACGGAUCUCUUGGCUCUCCCAUCGACGAAGAACGCAGCGAAAUGCGAUAAGUAAUGUGAAUUGCAGAAUUCAGUGAAUCAUCGAAUCUUUGAACGCACCUUGCGCCCUCUGGUAUUCCGGAGGGCAUGCCUGUUUGAGUGUCAUUAA
rnacentral:rRNA from 1 species